AUUCCCUGAAAUUCAGAUGUAUUUUUUUUUUAAAACUUACAAACAAGAGGCCCAUGGGCCUUAACUGUCACCUGAGUAUCACAGCCCAUACAGAGCCUCAAAUUUCUAUAUAAGCAUCAAUAUGGAGUCUUUUGUGCACAUAUUCAUGAUAUUUCAAAAUACACACAAUUCAUAUUUAAUUACAGAAUAAGGAAAAUGGAAGUUUAGAGGAUAUAAAUCAUAUCAACAUUUCCUAAUUGUAUUUUUAAACAUUUUCAUUUUUCAUUAUAUGUGGCCAUAUUGGCCCCACCCUAGGACCUGAACCCCAUACACAGGAGCCUAAAAUUUCACAAUUUAGGUAGAGAGCUUUAUGCACAUCAUAAUCAUGCAUUUAGUUUAUCUCAAUUAUACAUAGGAGUAGAGAAGAAGAGUUUCUAAGAUUUAAUAUAUUUUCACUAUUUGGCCUAGGGCCUGACCCAUCAUCAUAUUUUCAAUUUUGGUAAAGGGCUACCUGCUCAUUCUGAAUAUCCAUUUAGUUACAAUUUAGUAUCAAUAGCAUUAAAAAUGUCAUUAAAAUGUUUUACACAAAAAUUCUAUAUGCCAAAUCUUGCCCCACCCUGAAGUCAGAACCCUUAUACCAGUGAUCAUGAAAGUUACAAUUUUGUUAGAGGCUCUACAUUACUAUGCAUUUAAUUUUUCCCAUACAUGUGUAGUUGUAAAGAAGAUUUUUGAAAAUUGGUAAAAUUUUGGGCAGUUUUUGUCACGCCCUAGGGGAAAUUUAAAAUUUAUGUCCCCUUGUCCCAAUGAUGCUUCAUACCAAAUUUGAAAAGAAUUGGAAUGGUAGUUAUCAAGGAAGAAGUUAAAGAUGUUUAAUUGUUAACUCACGACGGAAGACGCAAGACGACGGAUGCAAAACAAUUGCAAAAUGUGACCUACAUGCAAGUCUACUCAGGCGACCUAAAAAGGACUAAGACCAUGUUUAGCUAUAUCGGCCCUGUGGUGUGUUAAAAAAUAGAGCAGAAUGAAUUGAAAUAAAAUUGUUAUCAUUUGAUAAUAUAAUCUUUAUACCAUCGCGACGUACCAAGAUUUCCCCGCCAAAACGUCAGCUUGUGGAAUUCUAUACAAGACAAAACCGGUAUCGGUCUGGUUUUCUGCAGAAAUCUCCACUUUUUUCAAAUUUAGUCAUAUAAUUCAUAUAAAACACGACCUUCGAUCCAGAAACUGACUGUAGUCUAUCAAAAUCUAUCAAUACAAAUAAAUUUUGCACGAACGAUUUUUUGGAUCGAAAGGUGUGCUGUUGAUGAAUAUCAACUUUGAAUUAAAUCAAGAGCAAUCCGGAAUUAUUUGUUUUUGUGAGAGUUGUGGGUAUUUUAUUAAUUAUGUUGCUUUGAAAAAUUAAAACAAUAUACUUAUGUGGAGUCUACAUCAUUUCCAUGCAGAAUACACCCCUAUGUGGUGUUUUUAUCACAGGUUUGUGCAUAGCUGCAAUAAUGUAGCCCUCUCCGAUUUUUUUUUUUUUUUUUUUUUUUUUUUUUGGGAGAGGGCUACAACUCCUUAGGAUCUCCGUAAUGGUGCAAAUGCGGGAGUGAUUCACUCCCGCAACAUUUGCGCUCAUUCUAAACAUUUCCUGACUUUCUUUACGUAAAUAAAAUGAUAUUCUAUGUUUCUUAGUCAAUAUAUAAAUUUACAACCUGCAACUUUAGAUUUGUGAGGCUCUAUUCUACCGUUUUCAACAAUUUCGAUAAAUUCCAAUUUCUCGAUUCAUAUUUGUGCGCCAUGUUUGAUGUACUGAAGUUUCAACUUCCGGUUGUCAAGUCAUUUGCAUAUGCCAUAUAAGGUAGUAUUUACAUCAAUGGACAAGUAUGGAGGCGAAACCUAUUUCGUCGGUAUUGAAAAGGUUUGAAUUUAAUAUCAAGUUAAAAACCGAACAGCAGAGUGUAAAUUCUUUCUGCAACAAUAUGAUUUUCCUUUCUUUGUCGAAGUGGCUCGAGUAACUACAUUUUCGCGCUGAUUGUCAAUGUUUAGGCCUUUCAUUAGAUCCACCUACGAGAUCUCGCGAUAACAAGCAUGGCGGAGCAGACGAAGAAUUUUGCAUGCUGUACAUUAUAUUUAAUGAAAAACACCUUUAUUAGACAUACCCGAGCACAAAGUUGGUACUCCUUUUGAUGUAAACAACAUUUGGGACUAAUACACAGAGUUUAUUAUCGGUUAUUCAUAAAAUUAUUUUGCACCAUAGGGUCGGAAAGUCUCGUCAUGUGACUCGCGAGAAAUAACGUGAAAUCGUACUUCCGGGCAGUUGUCAGGAUGGCAUUAUCAAUAAUGUACUAGACUCGCUACGUUCAAAACCACAUAGAGCUUACUACAAAAAGCGAUAGAGCGGUGGAUAACAACUGGGUUGAGAAUAUGUGUUCUAGAUAGAGCUCUGAGUUAUUACAAAGGUUGUCCAAGCGUCAAUACGAGACAUUUUCCAACAAAGUACAGAUAUAAAAGGGCAAACAACACAGCUGGAUAAAGCAUCUUAAGUCUGGACUUCGUAAAGCUAUGACAAUGAGAGAAAUGUAUCCACCCAGGCAAUCAGAAUAUAGAGUGCAGCUCAAAGAGAACCAUAGUUAUUGGCAUCAAGUUUUCCAUCAGCUUUACCUCACAGGCACCACUUGUGAUUUCAUAGUUUGAACACCAAUGAACAUGGAAGUGAUUCUCAUCCUUUGAGAUGAAUUAUGGGAAUUAUACUUGGCAUACAUGAUUGAGUCUUUGUGCCCUCUCCGCAAUAACCAACUAGACAGACUUGUGAAAAUUCAAAUGUCUUCCAUUAGUUUUAUUUUGUUUUUGCUACAAUUGAUCAGUGUAAAGAUGUGCAUGAAUCACCAUUGUAACAAUUUCUUUGACUAGCAACCUUAAAUAAAUGUUCACUUUAUCA